UCACUCACAACCGUUAGAAUGUCAUUUUUAGUGUUAAGUUACGGUGUCGCCGGUGCUAUCCCUCUUUCCACUCCCAACAAUUUGUGUCUUCCAAUUCCCAAUUUCAAUCGUAGCCGAUUUAACUCUCAAGCUCAUUCCAAUUCCCAAUUACGUCACAAUCUUGUCAACCCUACACCAUCAUCCGUCUUCGAACUCGGUAAGAUGUUAACUUCCCUUGUUAAAAACAAGCAGUUUGACACUGCUAUUUCCCUCUCUAAUCAAAUGGAGCUCAAUGGAAUUCAACCUAACUUUGUUACUUUGAACAUCUUACUCAAUUGUUUCUGCCACCUUAGUCAACUUAAUUUUGCAUUUUCUGUAUUGGCUAAGAUUAUUAAACUAGGUUAUCAGCCUAAUACAAUAACAAUGACUACACUUAUGAAAGGCAUGUGUCUUAGUGGUCAGGUUAAUAAAGCUUUGGAUUUUCAUGACGAUGUUAUAUCAAAGGGAUUUCAGCUUAAUCAAGUUACUUAUGGAAUCUUGAUUGAUGGGUUAUGUAAAAAAGGAGAAACAACAGCUGCCCUGCAGUUGCUCAGAAGGAUUGAAGAGUUAAUGGUUGAACCAAACGUGGUAAUGUACAGUAUAGUCAUUAAUAGUCUUUGCAAGGAUAAACUUGUGAGUGAUGCUUUUCAUUUAUAUUCUGAAAUGAUUGUCAACAAUAUUUAUCCUAAUGUUGUCACUUACAAUACUUUAAUAUAUGGCCUUUGUAUUGUCGGUCAAUUCAAAGAAGCUGUUAGUUUGUUAAAUGAAAUGUGGUUGAAAAACAUCAGCCCGGGUGUUCAUCCUUUUAAUCAAUUGAUUGAUGGUUUAUCUAAGGAAGGAGAGGUGAGAAAAGCUAAAAAUGUCUUAGCUGUUAUGAUAAAACAAGGUGUGAAACCAGAUGUUGUUACUUAUACUUCUUUAACAGAGGGGUAUUUCUUGGUUAAUGAAGUGAACGAGGCCAAAUAUGUAUUCAACACUAUUGCUCAAACGGAAGUGAAACCAGAUGUUUGUACCUACACAGUCCUGAUUAAUGGAUUAUGCAAGAAUAAAAUGGUGGAUGAAGCCAUGGAUCUCUUGAAAGAAAUGUAUUUAAAAAACAUCUCUCCUGAUACUAUAACAUACAGUUCGCUUAUUGGUGGGCUUUGCAAAUCGGGGAGAAUCUCUGAUGUUUGGUAUCUUCUUGAUGAGAUGCAUGAUAGAGGCCAUCCUGCUAAUGUGAUCACUUACACUUCUAUAUUGGNNNNNNNNNNNNNNNNNNNNNNNNNNNNNNNNNNNNNNNNNNNNNNNNNNNNNNAAGGCGAUGAAACUUUAUCGUGAAAUGAUUGCUAGAGGUCUUUUAUAAGAGUCGAACUAGGUGAGAUGCUUGCAAGCUACAAUUUGUUAUUUUGAAUUAGAAAAUGACCAUCUAAUUUUUAUUUCUUUUCAUAUUUAUAAAAGAUGGUUGGUGCAAUUGACUCACUAUUACAUUUUUUUUCAAUUUUAAUUAAAAUUUAUACUUUGGUAAUUUCAUUAUGAUAUUUGUUACGGCAAUUGUGUUUCACUUUUUUCAUUCUUUAAUAACUAUCCUUUUCUUCCUAAUUUUUUAUGAAUUUGCAUCAUAUUUUUCUAGGAUUUUUUUCACUCACUGUCAUUGUUAGUGUUCAACUUAUAUUUUUCAAUGAUUUAUAUUUAUGAAUCUGCAUCAUAAAGGGUAUGCCCAAGCUUGCAUUGCCAUACCUUCCAUAUGUUGAGAUUAUUUAUGCUAGUGGGGAAACUGUUGAUGAUGGUGCAUCUUUCCUGCCGGAAAUUGCCGCCAGUAUGUAUAAUCUCAAGAUACUUUCCAUCAAAUUUUUUCAUGAACUCAAGAUACUACCAAAUGAACUCAACACUCUCAGUUCCAUACAAGAACUACACAUUUCAUGUUGUUAAAAGCUUGAGUGUGUACUGCAAGGUUUGAGUUCUCUUUGAAUUUUGAGCUUUGAAUGUUGCAGUAGCUUAAAAUCCUGGCUCCAACGUCCAACAAACCUGACUUGUCUUGAGAGAAUUGAAAUUGCUAUUUGUCCCGAUCUCAUUUUACCAGCUACUGUGAACAUGCUAACUUCCCUUUGUCAAGUUAGAAUCUACGACGAAGAUAAAAAUGGAACGUUACCAAAUUUCUUAGAAGGUAUUCCCUCGCUGCAAAAUUUAUAUUUGUCAAGUUUUCCUUCUCUUGUAACCUUGCCAGACUGGUUGGAGACCAUGACUUCUCUUCAAACAUUAGAAAUCAAUUGGCGUCCAAAAUUAACCGCAUUACCAGCUAGCUUUAAAGAACUCAUAAACUUGCAUCAAUUACGUAUUUAUGACUGUCCUAUAUUGGUGAACCAAUGCAAGAAAGAAACAGGGGAAAAAUGGCAUAAGAUAGAUCAUGUUCCAAAAUUUAAAUUGGAACUUGUUGUUGAACUUGAACCGUCAUUUUAUGGUAAUUUAAUGAAUAGUUUUCUUUUCUUACUAUAUCUCUAGUUUUAUCAUCAAAUUUAUGGUGUUUUUAACAUAUUGAACUUUGUGUGCAGAGAAAACGAUGUCAUUAUGGAAGAAGUCGAAGCAAUUUCUGCGUCGCCAUCAGGACUAUUACCAUUCAGAGGAUGAAUCGGACAAUAUAAUUGAUGAUGACCUGUGAGUAUAUUAUUCAAAUCAUUGUUGUAGAGUGUGUUUGGGUGCCAAGUGCAUAUUCAUUUUCUCACAUUCAGAAGCAUAUUGUACCGUGUGUUAACCGGUGAAAGAAUUGUUUGAUAAAGGAAUGCUACUUUUGUUGGUGUCUAAUUAAAAUUCAUAAGGAAUAGAAAUUUCAGAGCACUUAUGUUCCUGUCCAAGCUUGUUAAAAUCGCGAGUUAAGUCAGAAUCGUAUUCCACAAGUCUAUGUAUCAAUUUUAUGUUGACUGCUGUAAACUAGAAUUUCAACAAAUUUGUAAAUGAAAUCGAGUUGACAAAGCAUUUUAGGAUUUAUUCUCAUUUUUCAAAUUUGGUUAUUUUUAGCAUUUCAUCUCAGUUUUCAAAUUGUAAAUGAGAUACACUGUUAAAUCAAGAUAUACAAGGAGAAAUUCAUCUACAAUGAACACUUUAAAGUGCCUGGAAUAUGUUGUGGUGAUUAUGUAGGAAAUGCAUAACCAUGCUGACAAGUUUGACACUGAAACAGAAUGUCGGGAUGAAAUCAAUGAUCAAAUUAUGAUGCAAUAAUUUAAUUUCCAAAAUGAAGGGAAAUGCAUAGCCCAUGUUUUCUUUUAAAGCUUAUUAUCUUCUUCCUAUAUCACUUUCUUAUUUUUUAGUCAAUUAAUAUGUGUUUUUUUCCUUCAAUUUAUUGCAUUAGUGGAAAAGGUACUUGUAUGACUUCUAAUGAGGAGGAAGUCAAUGAAGAAAAUGAUAAAUGUGAUGAUAGUUUAGAAGCAAAUAUUGUUCAUGUAGCCUUCGAUGCCAUCUCUUAUUUUCGUCCAAUCGUUUUUUUAUUUUUCAUUACAUAUUUUAUUUGGAUAUGUACAGGUACAUCCGUUAAGGUGGAUAAUUCUAAUAGGUUCACAAAUAGUAUUUAUUAAUUUUUUAUAUUAAACACUUUUUUUCAAGCAAAAAGAGAAAACUUAGUUGAUAUAAAUUAAGAAGGUAUCGAACUAGGUAUCAUCCGGUAACAUCAAUUACUUCGUAACAAAAAGGAAUUUGCGCAAGGAUCUAUAUUAAACAUUUAUUGUGGACAUAUCAGAAUUAUCCAACUCAGCGCAGUGUAUGGUUCAUAUCCAAAUAAGAUGUGUACUUAAGUGUUCAAUUGUUUUUAUUUUAAUUUUAUAUGGUUUAGGUGUGGCUACUUUGAUGUUCUAGCUGUUUUCACAUGCAAUCAUUUGUUAGGAACACUCUUUUGAAAUAAAUUAAAUAAGUUCAAAUUUUGUAAAGAAGAAAAAACGGGUUUAUAAAAAAAAAAAACCGCUAUAAAUAUUCCGGAAAAAGCUAACUUAUUUUUAGUAAAUUUUAUUUCAGAGAUUUGAACUGAUGAGGAUUAUCCAUCUUAGUGGUUGGGAAAAAUUCUCAAGCUAGGUUAUCAGCCUGAUACAAUAACAAUGACUACACUUAUGAAAGGCAUGUGUCUUCAGUUGGAACCUUGAUCAACAGCUAGGUUAAAGAAGCAUUGGAUUUUCAUGACGAUGUUAUAUCAAAGGGAUUUCUGCUUGAUCAAAUUAGUUAUGGAACCUUGAUCAACAGCUGCCCUUCAGUUGCUUAGAAGGAUUGAAGCAUUAAUGGUUGAACCAAACUUGGUAUGGUAAUGUACGGUACAGUCAUUCAUAGUCUUUGCAAGGAUAAUCUUGUGAGUGAUGCCUUGCAUUAAUGGUUUCUAGCUACAAUGUCAUGAUUAAUGGAUUAUGCAAGAAUAAAAUGGUGGAUGAAGUCGUGAAUCUCUUAAAAAAAUGUAAUUAAAAAACAUGUCUCCUAAUACUAUAACAUACAGUUCACUUAUUGUUGUGCUUUGCAAACCGGGGAGAAUCUCUGCGUUUGGGAUCUUCUUGAUAAGAUGCAUGAUUGAUAGAGUAUAAGAUAAUUAAAUAAUUUAUAUUAUUAACGAAAAUACCCAUUUUAUUUUCAAAUACAAAAAUAUUAUCUCCAUAUAUCUCUCCGGUACAGUUCUGUCCUGUACUAUAUUAUGUUGUUUUGUCCUGCACUGUUCUAUCCAGUUCUUGCUGUUUUACGAAUCAAACGCACUCGUAGGGUUUGUAACAUUUUAACCUAAUCAAUGAAAUGAAUCAAUUUAUCUUUAUUUAUUGUCUUUUAUUUCCUAUAGUAAUUUUUAAUGUCUUUUACCUAGUUUCUUAGCUUGAUAAAAUUCAUCUUCCUAUCAAUGAUAGAGGUCUACGUGCUAAUGUGAUCACUUACAAUUCUAUAUUGGAUGCUUUGUGCAAAAUCCAUCAGGUUGACGAAGAAAUUGAAUUAUUAGCGAAGAUCAAAGACCAAGGAAUUCAACUAGAUAUGGAUACAUACCAAUGUUUUAAAAACCGGAUCGGAGAUCGAACCGGUGAGAGCUUCGGUUCAUGGUUCAACCGGUUCAAUCGGUUGAACUGCUAUUAAACCGUUAUUGAACCGAAUAAUUAAAAAUAAAUAUGAUGCUGAAGAAUAAAUAAUAAUUUUUGACUCAAUAAUUUGAUUUUUUUUUUUUACAUAGUAAAAAAGAAAGUUAGUUCUCCAAAAAAAAAAAGUUAGUUUUAUUUUAUAAUAUAUUGGGCCAUUAUUUUAUCAAAUUGUAUUGACCCAAAAACUCAAUUAUAAGCUAAACCCUAGAAUUGAAAUAUCAUCUCAUUCCUAUUAGUGAGCAGCCUCCACUCCACUUUCUAUCUUCUUCUCUCACGUAAUUUCUUUCUUUUUCUUCUUAUUUUCUUGUUUCUUCUUUUUCUCUCUUACUCAGAUCUGUUUCAUUCCUUUCUUAUGUAUGACCAUCAAGAAAUAAAAAAUUAUUGUGUGACUACAACAAAUUUAUUCCUUAAUUUCUCAAAUUCAUCCGUGUAUUUUUUUCUUCUUCUUUUUCUUAUAACAAAUAACAGUGGCAUUUUCAUGUUUCCGUUUGACACUUAUGUUCCGGUAAAAAGAAUAACUCUACCCUAGUUUGAAAAUACAAAAUAAUAAUUUUUUUUGAAAUUCCAUUUUUUUUAUUAGAAGAGAACCGGCCGUUUUUUCCGGUUUCCGGUUCGCCGGUUUUUUCGGUUUAUACCGGUUCAGGCCGGUUCAAAGCGGGUUUAUCCCGGUUUAAUGGACUAGCGGUUCUGGUACUUGUUCUGGACCAGUGUUGUGUCCGAUUCACGGUCGAACCGGUCGAACCGGCCGGUCCGGUUCUUAUAACAUUGAUACAUACACUAUACUUGUCGAUGCACUAUGCGAAAAUGGAAGACUUAAGGAUGCACUAGAACUUACGUUGGUAGCAUGUGUAAAAGCAAACCAGUUUUGCGCCCUUCAUAUGCUGGAAUAGUUACAUGCAUACAACUGAAGAGUUUGAUCUUCACUUACCUUGACAGUUCAUCACGGGGAAACUUUGUUGAAUGCACCAAAUGAAACAUCUGAAAGAUAACUAAGUUAACUAGGUUCUGUUUAUCUUUGUUAUGCUUGUGAUUUUCGACGAUAUUGGAACCUUACUUUCAUGGUUUGUCAAAUGUAUACUGUGAACCAUACACUCAACCCAUUUAAAAACUUGAGUUUGUAAUUGAGAGGAAAAAAAUUGACCAAAGAUGAUGCUAGAAAACUGGUUUGUUAUGAUGUAUGACCAUACAUUUCAAUGAAUUAUUGCUAAUGUUUUGCUAUACAUUUGUGCUUAGUAGAUUUCAGAGUAUCCUCCUAAUAGUAGAGAUCAAACAAGCUUUAUGUAUAUGAGGUAGUGAUGUAAUACAUAAACCCUAAAACUUGAAAAUCAUUUCCAAUACGAAAUUUCAACACAAAAAACAACAUAUUAGAAGAAUCAAAAGAGAAAGGAAGUAUGAUUUUAUAUUUUUUUAACCAUAAACCAGAGUAUAAACAAAAUAGGGUUUUUUGCAUGUUGUACCUGUCAGAUGGUAAUCGCACGAACGACGAUGAUGAAGAUGAUCGACGGUGAUGAAGAUUAUAUUGUGUUUUUGUUUUCUCCGACUUAACGUUCUCACUCCAUUUUUACGUUUGUUUGAGAAACAUAAGGGUUUGAUUGAGAGAGAGAGAGAGAGAGAGAGAGAGAGAGAGAGAGGCUGAAGCGUUAAUAGAAACAAAGAGGGAAAAAAAUUAUUUUAAUAAUUUUGUAACUUUUUAAUUUCAGUCAAAUUGCCCGACAUGGCAUCCUAACACCGUACACCACGUCACCUUUACUAGCCACAUCAUCACAAUUAACAGAACAACUAACGAAGGAGGCAAUUUGAUUGACGUUUUAAUAUUUCAAGGGGUAUUUGUUUAUUUCCAAAUUUCAUGGGGUAUUUGACAAAUUUUGAAAUAUCAGGAGGUAUUUGGCGUUUCACUCAUUAACUAUUUGUUGUUUCAAAUUGGUCCCCUUACUUAUAUUUUGUUUGCCAAUUUGGUCCUUUCUACUAACUUGGGUAAAAAACGUUAAGUAUGCAUACGUGGUUGUGAUAUGGCAAUUCAUGAAGUGAAGGUCUGUUUGAAUUGAUGAAAUGUAAUGAAAUGGAGUGGAGUGAAAUAAAGCGAAAUGAAAAUGAACGGAAUUGAAUAAAUUAAAUAUUUUAUGACGGAACACAACAAAUUUAUUAUUCCAUUGUUUGAAAAGUGGACAUAAUUGAAUAAAUUAUAAUAUUUUAUUACAUUUUUAAUUAAAUUUGAUUAGCAUUCUAAAUUAAUUUUUUUUUAAUUAAAGUGGACAGAAUUGAUUAAAAAUAUAGGAAUAAUUACAUGGCUAAAUUAGCUUAUUAACCGAUUGAAAGUUGAAACCAAAUGUUUUAGUUAUUUGUUGAUUAAUUAUUGCAACGUAAACCUAAAUCAUACCCACCCCUUAUUGAUUUCUUCCUUGUUAUCCAAAACUAAGUUACAGCAACCAACCGCACUACCACAGUUGCAGCAUCUCAUAUUCUUCUUCAUCUCAACGGCCGUUAGAAUGUUAUUUUCAGUGUUAAGUUACGGUGCUGCUCUCACUCUCUCCACUCCCACCAAUUUCUGUCUUCCAAUUUCCAAUUUCAAUCGUAGCAGAUUUUAGUCUCAAGCUCAUUCCAAUUCCCAAUUACGUCACAAUCUCGUUGUUGAUGAUGCUAUUUCUUCAUUCAAUCAAAUGCUAUGUAUCAACCCUACCCCACCCNNNNNNNNNNNNNNNNNNNNNNNNNNNNNNNNNNNNNNNNNNCUGCUAUUUCCCUCUCUAAUCAAAUGGAGCUCAAUGGAAUUCAACCUAACUUUGUUACUUUGAACAUCUUACUCAAUUGUUUCUGCCGCAUUGGUCAACUCAAUUUUGCAUUUUCUGUAUUGGCAAAAAUUAUUAAACUAGGUUAUCAGCCUAAUACAAUAACAAUGGCUACACUUAUGAAAGGCAUGUGUCUUAGUGGUCAGGUUAAUAAAGCUUUGGAUUUUCAUGACGAUGUUNNNNNNNNNNNNNNNNNNNNNNNNNNNNNNNNNNNNNNNNNNNNNNNNNNNNNNNNNNNNNNNNNNNNNNNNNNNNNNNNNNNNNNNNNNNNNNNNNNNNNNNNNNNNNNNNNNNNNNNNNNNNNNNUACUUUAAUAUAUGGCCUUUGUAUUGUCGGUCAAUUCAAAGAAGCUGUUAGUUUGUUAAAUGAAAUGUUGUUGAAAAACAUCAGCCCGGGUGUUCAUCCUUUUAAUCAAUUGAUUGAUGGUUUAUCUAAGGAAGGAGAGUUGAGAAAAGCUAAAAAUGUCUUAGCUGUUAUGAUAAAACAAGGUGUGAAACCAGAUGUUGUUACUUAUACUUCUUUAAUAGAUGGGUAUUUCUUGGUUAAUGAAGUGAAGGAGGCCAAAUAUGUAUUCAACACUAUUGCUAAAACGGAAGUGAAACCAGAUGUUUGUACCUACACAGUCAUGAUUAAUGGAUUAUGCAAGAAUAAAAUGGUGGAUGAAGCCAUGGAUCUCUUCAAAGAAAUGUAUUUAAAAAACAUCUCUCCUGAUACUAUAACAUACAGUUCGCUUAUUGCUGGGCUUUGCAAAUCGGGGAGAAUCUCUGAUGUGUGGUAUCUUCUUGAUGAGAUGCAUGAUAGAGGCCAUCCUGCUAAUGUGAUCACUUACACUUCUAUAUUGGAUGCAUUAUGCAAAAACCAUCAGUUUGACAAGGCAAUUGAAUUAUUGGCGAAGAUCAAAGACCAACAAAUUCAGCUAAAUAUGCCUACAUACACUAUACUUGUCGAUGGACUAUGCAAAAAUGGAAGACUUAAGGAUGCACUAGUGGUUUAUCAGGAUCUUUUGAUUAAAAGCUACCAUUUAAAUGUGACGAUGUAUACUGCUAUGAUUAACGGGCUUUGUAAAGAGGGCUUGAUUGAUGAUGCAUUGUCCUUAAUGUCAAAAAUGGAAGAUAAUGGUUGCACCCCUGACGGCACAACUUACACAACUCUUAUUGAUGCUUUGUCCAAAAAUGGAAAGAAUGAGAAGGCGAUGAAACUUUAUCGUGAAAUGAUUGCUAGAGGUCUUUUAUAAGAGUCUAACUAGGUGAGAUGCUUGCAAGCUACAAUUUGUUAUUUUGAAUUAGAAAACGACCAUCUAAUUUUUAUUUCUUUUCAUAUUUAUAAAAGAUGGUUGGUGCAAUUGACUCACUAUUACUUUUGUUUCAAUUUUAAUUAAAAGUUAUACUUUGGUGAUUUGUUUAUGAUAUUUGUUACAACAAUUGUGUUAGACUUAUUUCA
rnacentral:lncRNA from 1 species